GAUAAGGAAACGGAUGUUGUUCAGAUCUCCCCACCGAGAACCAACUUUGUUUGCGGGAACUCUUACCCUGAGCCUGUUUUCGGUCGCGGUCGCUCUAGAAGAACGCGGUACCUCGAGGGUUCGUUCCGAAAAACACGUCAACCAGAUUUCUACGGAGACAGAACGUCGACAUUCUCCCGUGAAGUUCUGCGAAAUGUCUCCGU